AUACGUAGGUGGCAAGCGUUGUCCGGAUUUAUUGGGCGUAAAGCGAGCGCAGGCGGUCUCUUAAGUCUGAUGUGAAAGCCCCCGGCUCAACCGGGGAGGGUCAUUGGAAACUGGGAGACUUGAGUGCAGAAGAGGAGAGUGGAAUUCCAUGUGUAGCGGUGAAAUGCGUAGAUAUAUGGAGGAACACCAGUGGCGAAGGCGGCUCUCUGGUCUGUAACUGACGCUGAGGCUCGAAAGCGUGGGGAGCAAACAGGAUUAGAUACCCUGGUAGUCCACGCCGUAAACGAUGAGUGCUAAGUGUUGGAGGGUUUCCGCCCUUCAGUGCUGCAGCUAACGCAUUAAGCACUCCGCCUGGGGAGAACGGCCGCAAGGCUGAAACUCAAAGGAAUUGACGGGG
rnacentral:rRNA from 1 species